AUGUGCCCCAGAGCGCACGGCGGCGCCGCGAUGGUGAGAGCGAGAGCGAGCAGUGCUGCUGGCGCGCACUCGUUUGCGGAGGAGGAGUACAUCGACCUGGAUCUCAGCUCCUGCGGGGAGUACGAGUUCCGGGUGUGCCGGGGCAAACCGGCGGCGCCCUGCCCGGACGAGCCGGCCUGGCGGGCCAGGCAGCGCAAGGACAAGGUGGCGCCGAGGCCGGGGGGCAGGCUGCUUGACGCGGACGCCGGCGCCACAGGCGGCUGCGGCAGAAGGGGCACCGCCACGGUCGCGCCAUUGCAGCACUCCUCGCAUGCUCCACCGCACGCGGGCCGGCGCAGGAAGCCCGGCAAGGCCAUGCAGGCGAGGCUGCAGGCGUCGCGGGCCUUCCUCCGGUCCCUGUUCGCCAGGACCUGGUGCUCCGACGAGCGGUGCCGCGGCGCUCGGUCCGGGUCCGGGAGCAGGGCCGCGCAUGACAGGGACAAGGGCGUCGGCGUCAGCGGCAAGUCGGCGUUUGGGCAAAUCAACAAGAGCUACGUGAGCGGCAGCGCGGCCCCGACGACGCUGAGGAGCAGCAUUGAGCGGGAGAAGCUGAUGGAGGAGGAGGAGCACGUCCGGCAACGCAAGUCCUUCUCCGGCGUGAUCAAGUGGCGACCGACGACGGCGGCGUCGUCGGUGCGGAGGAACUCGUGCGGGAGCGCCCCGGCCCUGAAGAGGAGCAGCAGCUGCCGGUCGGAGUCGGAGGGGCUGAUCCAGGGCGCCAUCGCCUACUGCAAGCGGUCGCAGCAGCAGCGCGUGCUCCUCGCCAGGAAGAGCGUCAGCGACGCCGCCCUCUGCUCCUUCCGUGCCCCCUCCUAG
rnacentral:rRNA from 1 species